rnacentral:rRNA from 1 species
AGCGCCCUACGGGACGCAGCAGUGGGGAAUAUUGGACAAUGGGGGAAACCCUGAUCCAGCGACGCCGCGUGAGUGAAGAAGUAUUUCGGUAUGUAAAGCUCUAUCAGCAGGGAAGAAAAUGACGGUACCUGACUAAGAAGCCCCGGCUAACUACGUGCCAGCAGCCGCGGUAAUACGUAGGGGGCAAGCGUUAUCCGGAUUUACUGGGUGUAAAGGGAGCGUAGACGGCGCGGCGAGUCUGAAGUGAAAGGCAGGGGCUUAACCCCGGAACUGCUUUGGCAAC